AAGAAUAUACUAAUUUAAUUGAUCUCUCUGUUGAGGGUAAUUUUUAUCUUUUUCUACACAUGCUGCUGGGCUUUCUGAAAGACAUCAAAGCAGGAAAUAUCCUUCUGAUAGAACGAGGCCCAGGUGAAACUUGCUGACUUUGGACUGGCUUCCAUGGUCUCUCCUGCCAACUCUUGUGUGGGAAUGCUACAUUGGAUGGCCGCAGAAGUAAUUUUAGCCGACGUUGACAACCAAUAUGAUUGUAAAGUAGAUGUAUGAUCUCUUGGAAUAACAUGUAUUGAACUAGCGGAAAGGGAGCCUCCUUUAUGUGAAAUGAGUACAGUAAGUGCCUUCUGGCACAUAGUCGAAAAUGAAUCCCCUACACUACAGUCUAAUGAAUGGUCCAGUUCUUUUCGCAACUUUGUAGAGUCUUGCCUCCAGAAAAACCCUAAAGAUCGCCCUACAUCAAAGAAACUUUUAAAGCACCCGUUUCUUCUUCGGGAGCGCCCUACAGCAGUGUUAAGAGAUCUCCUUCAAAGGGCAAAGGAUGUGCAGAAAGAGCUGGACAACCUGCAGUACCAGAAGAAGAAGGUCCUUUCCCAGGAGGCACAUAAAGGGCCAGCAGUAGAAGCACAGGAAGAAAAGGUAAUAACUUAGAAAUGGCUCAAGUAUUGGGGUCUCCUUAUUGGCUUCUUUCCUUAUGGAACUUUUCUUGCCAAGAAUCUUUUAUAUCAGUGGUUUCCAGAUUGUGUCUUCACAGUGAUUCUCUAAGGUCCCAGGUGGAGAAAAAGGUUUUGCAUUCUUUAAACCAACCUCUUGGUAGUGUACAUUAGCAUAGUAAAGCUCUGUGAAGUCUUUUAUUAGAGAAACCUGUUCAACUUUUAUUUAAUCUAGUCCCUCUCAAAAUUCUGGUCUACUGAACACUUUUUUGCCUGAUUGUCUGAUGGCAUGGGACACGCUUUUGGAAGUAUUUGAAAUUACAGGCUUUGGAAGUUGACGGUGCUCACAGAGAAGUCAUUAGAAUUACCAACCAUUUUCCUUAUCUUGUUUAUUGUAUAAUCCUUUCCCUCAGUUCCUUUUAUGUAAUGUUUUAUAAGUGUUUAUUAAAUUGGAAAUUUCUUGCUUUUUUAAAAAUAAAUAAAUAAAUAAAAUAAACAUGUGACUUAGCUAAAUUUAUCCUGGGGGAAAAAAAUUACCAAGCAUU